rnacentral:rRNA from 1 species
CGCUGGCGGCGUGCUUAACACAUGCAAGUCGAACGGGGAUAGGUUGGAAAGGCUUCGGCCCGGAAGACUAAUCGAGUGGCGGACGGGUGAGUAACGCGUGAGCAACCUGUCCCAGACAGGGGAUAACACUUGGAAACAGGUGCUAAUACCGCAUAAGACCACGGGGUCACAUGGCUCUGGGGUAAAAGGAGCAAUCCGGUUUGGGGUGGGCUCGCGUCCGAUUAGAUAGUUGGUGAGGUAACGGCCCACCAAGUCGACGAUCGGUAGCCGACCUGGGAGGGUGAUCGGCCACAUUGGAACUGAGAGACGGUCCAAACUCCUACGGGAGGCAGCAGUGGGGAAUAUUGGGCAAUGGGCGAAAGCCCUGACCCAGCAACGCCGCGUGAGUGAAGAAGGCCUUCGGGUUGUAAAGCUCUGUUAUAGGGGACGAAGGAAGUGACGGUACCCUAUAAGGAAGCCCCGGCUAACUACGUGCCAGCAGCUGC